ACUCCCCGGAGGCUGGACAGCAGCAGCAGGCCUGCAGGCAGCCGGUCUCUGACUUUCUCACAGACACCUGGAGACGGACUUCCUCAAGCUGACGCCAAGUGGCCUCAAGGACCCGCCUGGAUGGCAAGCGGAGCAAGCCAGGAUGUGAGGUUUGUCCCGGGACGCCCAGGUCUGAAAUGGACAGCCAGGCUCGGGGAGCUGGAAGAAAGGCCUCCUCUCUGGCACAGCAUUCCCUGGAGCGAGGCCCCAGAGGUUCCCAGCCCAGGAGGAAGUGAGCUGCCUGGGGCCCUGGCCUCCUACCAGACCUGAAAGGAGAGAAGUCAGCCUGGAAGCUUAUCAGACCCCAGCCAAGUUAAAGCCUGGCUCCAGGGAGGACCUGAGAGAAGCUGGACUUGGCUAGCCCCAGGCCAGCCCUACCCAAAUGCCUGGAGGCAGCAAACUCCCAGCACUAUCAAAAUACAGGUCGUAAAUAAAGCCUCCUUGGCAGCCAGCUCAGGGUUGGAAAUAGAGUCCCCCCAAAAUGACCUUUCCAGACUAAUGCUGGAACCGAAGGUCAAAAGAGCCUCCUAAAGUAACGAGGAAGAGGCUGGGGCUUGCCUGGCAUUGAGAUGGGCCUCACAUUUGGAUGGCCAACAGGUGGCCAUCUUUGCCUUCAGGAGGGCAGGGUGAACACCUGCCUCCCUCUCAGGCCCCUGCUCCCCUGUCUGCCAUCGUGGGAAGCAGCUGUAAGGUCCCACAGCAAUAGACGCCAGCCAGCACAGUCUUCCUGCCGCGAGGCCGUGAGCCAAAAUCCCCGUCUCCCCAUGAGUUCUUUCUCAGGUGACAUAGUAAACCUAAGUCACUGACACGCCCGGCCCCGCUGAGGGUUUAACACCGGCAUCCAGGACUGAGCGCUUCUGCCCUCCCUGCCUGACACCGCCUGAGGUCCCAAACACCCUAGAAAGCGGUGGAUCAAAGGCCAGCGCCUCCUCACUCCCACGUGGGGUCAGAAGGAGAACUGGCUCCGUCCUUGCCCUCUGAAGCAUCCAUCAGAUGAAUGCUGACGCAGCAGAGGCCAAGGGGACCUGAUUCCGCUCUACGGGCCUCCCAGUCUGAGGAGGGCAGACAACAGGACGGAUGGAUGAAUGGGCCUGUGGAGACCAAGGGCGGCACAGCUUCAAGGAGGCUGUCUGAGGCUGCCCUGCCUCAGCUGAGCAAGCACGCUGUGGAGACCUGAGGGAGGGUAGCCUGGGAGACAGAGGGCCAAGUUCACACAGGGCCGGGGUGCAUGAAUCGUGUCUUCUCACAGAAGCCUCCUGCUCCAUAGCUGGAUGAAUGGAUGCUGGAGGGGUGUGCUGCUUUCCCAGGGGUACCCAGUAUGGCUGAACUCUGUGCCCUGCUCUAACUAAAGUCAUACAAGGCUUUCACAAGAUCAAGCUGGCUAAAAUUCCAGCGCUCACCAAACCCCACCCUAGCCAGGGUGCUGGCAGUAUCACCCCUAGGCAGAGGGGCCUGGGCUGUCUGAGGAAGCCAGAGGCACAGGCAGGAAGUGUGCCAGCAAGCAGCAUUCAUCUGCGGUUUCUGCUCCAGUUCUGGCUUCAGCUCCUGCCCUCACUUUCCCCAGCGAUGAACUGUGACCUGGAAGUGUAAGCUGAGAUAAAUGCUUCCCUCCCCUCAGUUGCUUUUGCUCAUGAUAAUUAUCACAGCAACGGAAAAGCAAACUAGAAUGCAGUUUCAAACAAUAAAUAAAAAUACAUAUUUAAAAAUUAGGCAACCAGUUCGGCUCUGUGGCACACGCCUGUGAUCCCAGCACUUAGGAGGCGGAGGCAGAGGCAGAGGCAGGCAGAGUUCAAGGCCAGCUUGGUCUACAGAGUGAGUUCCAGAACAGCCAAGGUUACAGAGAGAAACCCUGUCUCAAAAAAACCAAACCUUCAGCUAUUUGAGUCAAAGUCAGCUCUAGAGUCUAUAUGAGGAACAACUUUUGAUGGACACAGUCUCAGCCUAGAAACCCAAGCAGAAAGGGAAGGCGACCUGAAUGCAGGUGGACACUGCCAUGCCCAGAGAUUUCCCCCAGGAUCAGGGCUUCCCUGGCCUGUCUCGUGACCCUUCCAGGGUUCCCACACUGAAAGAUGAGGCAGCAAGACUUCUACCAAGGAAGCAAUCUUACUGUCGUGUUCCAGGAUUCUACCAAGCUCCCAGUCACAAGACAGUUGGUGAAGGUCACUUCAGAUGGCCAUGAGGGGUCAGAGUUGCGAGCCAAUUGCCGGAAGCCUGGUCUACAGACCUGCAGGCCGAGCCCUUCACAGAGGAGCAGGAAAGCCAGGUGCUGCCACGGAAAACGCAAAUGACAGGUCUGGAAAGGUAGCGGCGCCGCCCCAUGCCCCACAGGCCCAGCACACAUUGGGGGCUCUGUGAGCUGCAGGCCCCAGCAGGGCAUGGUGAGAACGUCACCUAUCAGGCGCUUUAAGGGUCUCAGCUACAUAGACGAAGCCCUGGGUUCAGCUCCCAACCCGGCAUAAACCAGGCUUGGUGUUUCACCUCCAAUCCCAGCAUGUGGGAAGCAGAGGGGUCGGAGGUUCAAGACGGUGCUUUAACUACACAGUCAGGUCAAGACCAGCUCAGGACUCAUAAGUUGAUCAGGACUUAUUUACUAUUUUAAAUACUCUCUCUCUCUCUCUCUCUCUCUCUCUCUCUCACUCUGUGUGUGUGUGUGUGUGUGUGUGUGUGUGUGUGUGUGUGUGUGUGUGCAAGAGCAGCAAGUACUCUUAACCACUGAGCUAUCUCUCUACCUCCAAGGUCAGGGUCUUGAUUGGACCUGCAGGCUGGAGUUCAAGGCCAUCCUAACGCCCUUUGGACUGUGUGUGGACUUUUCGGGCGGCUUUGAUACAUCUAUUUCAGUCAAACCAAAUAAUGAUAAGCUAAUUUUUUUCAUCUGCGGCUUGGCCUCCUCUCUGUUUUUCUUCUUUCCUCCCCUGCCUCCCCCACACUUGUCUUCCACGUGUUAGCCCAUUUGUUCUAGGUGGGGUGUUCCUGUUUGUUUCAGCUUUCUGGCACAAGCACUUGGAACUGUCACAGACCAUGGAAACAGUCAGAACCUGUAUCAGAGGGUGCAGUGACAGGUGUCCACAGAGCGACCGACCAUUGUGUCUGACACUCAACUUCUCAGAGACGUGUGGGCAGGAGGUAGGUUGGGGGUGUGGACACCCAGCUGUGGACACCCCUGGCCAGUGGAGACAGGGGUGCGCUCCCAUCCUCACUCCUGUGGGUGACCUUAGCCGCCAGCACCUCUCCGCUGCUGCUUGCCGAGUGACAGAACCAGGCUCUCCCGUGAGCCACCCAUCCGGCUGGCAGCCCAGGUACAUCCUUCCUCCCCACCCACCUCGGGCAAGUGCUCUUGGCAGAGGUUUUCCUGCUCACUCUCCCGAGCACAGGGCCCGACCAGGUCUCCAAUGCUCUGCCAGCAGAGCAGGGUGGUGGGAUGGUGCUGCUGGGCUUGCGUGGCGAGCGUUGGUUUCGAGGGAGGUCUGAGGUGGUUCCCCAGGCUCUGUGAAGCCACCACGUAGCUGCAGGUGUGGUGCCGCUGGGUGGUUCCUGGCUGUGGUGUGACGAUGACAGUGUGCCACGGAGGGUUUCGGGUAGCUCGGGAUGCCUCCUCCCAGCUCCUCCGUGCACACAUUGAGGUUGCCAUCUCUCAUGGACUGUCCUGUUACACUCACUGACGAAGUGACACUAACUUCGGAGGGCAGGUGUUGCUUCCAUUUUUCACGUUAGUUUUCAAGAUGAGGUCUUUGAGGGUCGGAGAGAUGGCUCAGCAUGUAAGAGCACUGGCCGCCCCUGCGCAGGGCUGGAAUUCCAGUUCCCAGGGCUGUGUCACAUGGCUCCCUGCCCAUUACCCCAGCACCAGGGGCCUCUGCAGGACACACACAUGUACAAAUACACACACACACACACACACACACACACAAUUUAAAAAUAAAUCUUAAAAAAGAGACUCCAUCUUAAUCCUCAAAAGACAUCUUAUUCUUCACCUUUGACCCUCAGGGUGGUUUUCACAGAAACAGUGAGGGAGGUCCUGUGGAUAUCUAGGGUCACAGGUCAAGGCCAAUGCUUCAGCCUUCAAGAGCUCAUGAAGCCUGGGACACACUGCAUGGUCACAAUAAAGGCGAACCAGCCUCGCCUGCCACUGCCACCCGCUCAGUCAAACGCCCUGUUGCCAUGAUGAACUCCAGGAGCAUGAGCGUCCAGUCAGCACCGGGGAAUGUCACCUGACCAGUCACCAGCAUUCUUAACCGCACACACCACCAAAGCAGGCUUCCCUCAGAAUGCACCCUGCUCCUCUCCGAAAUGCAACGAUUGUUUUAAACCUACUCAAACAAAGCUUGAAAAGAGUUGGCUCCCAAGGUGGCCACUGGUGUCUGAGGAGCACAGAACCCCAUGGCCUCCUGCUCUGGUGAGACCCACUGCGAGCUCUGAGGCUAUCAAUGGCCCACGUUGGCAUUUUUAUCUCUGUAGUGAAAAGGGUAAUUUGGCUGGCUGCCUCAGUGAUGAGGAAAAUAGGAUUGCACUCCAAAGAAACAUGGCAUGGGCUUUGUUCUCUUACCCAGAAGUCUUUCCCAGGCACCAUGGAAGGCGCUGUCCCCAGGAGCCCCUACCACCCCUAAGCCAUUCACAGCCCAGCAGCUGGCAGAGCCAGCCAGCCACUUGGCACACCCUCGCUGUGAUGGCAUGGUGAACGUCAACUUGAUUAGCUCUGGCCAGGUCUGUGAGGCAUUUCCAGGAGUGACUGACUGAGAGGAUAGAGAAGCCCCUGACUGGGUGUCACUGUAUCUGUCCCAGAUACAAAGAGUCCUCGGAAGAAACAAAGUUACUCACCAGCAUUGCUCCAGCUGGUAGAUGUAUCUAUCCCAUCAGCCUCUUCCUUGGCCUUCCAACUUGGACUAAAACCCACCUUGGGCAGACCAGAACUGCCAAGGCGGCUGACCUCAUGGACAGAGGAGCGCUGAGCCUCCGAGUGUGCAGGCAGAAGCCGCUGGGUUGUCAUGUAAGCCAUUCUGGAAACCCCUUUGUGAUGGAUAUUCAUUGUAUGGGUUCUGUUCCUCCAGAGAAGCAGACCAGCGUGGGUAGGGUUUUGCCCACAGUUCUUGAAGCUGACUAGUAAAUGGGAAAAUGGUGUCCUCAAUAAGAAAAGCAGGAAAAAUGUUGAUGUGGGCUUCCUCACACAAGGGUAAUGAAAGAGGUGUGGAGUGAGAAUUCUGGAAUUUUGUUUUGUUUUUGUUUUUUUUUGUUUUUUGUUUUUUUUUUUUUAAAGCACAGAAAUAUUAUAAGAAUGUGCUUUCAUUUAAUCCCGGGUGUGGGAUGUGGGGCUGCUUCGGAUGGUUCGCAGCAGCUGAUGAUGAUUUGCCUUGUGCUCUAGCAGAAGCGUGGUUUUGCCAGCUGCAGAUGGUUUCUACGAUUGUGUGACGUUCUGAGGGACUUAGAGGCAGGAUUGCUGGUUGGUGGUUGGUGGUUUGUUACUUAGAUCAGGGGACUUGGUUCCAGUUUGUUAUUAGUUGUGCUCAAAGGAGAAACAAGAAGAAGUAAAUCAGAUUCAGGGAUCUCUCUCUCCCCCGUCUUUCCCUUAUCUGGUAGGGAUGAAAAUAGGGGAGACAGAGGUGGUAAAAAGAAGAACCCAUAAAGUAGCAAAGACGGGCUACAGAGGCGAGCAGGGAUAUGGCCUGUGAAAGCAAUAGUCUAAGGGUGUCACAGGUCUGGAGGAAAGUGGCUUAUGGGGAGAACCUGCUCAAGGGCCUGCAUGCCUCCAAAGGAAAAACAUCAGCGGAAAAGUUACUUUUCAAAUCUAGAUUUUCUCUUCCUUCUUUCCUUCCUUCCUCCCUUCCUCCCUCCCUUCCUUCCUUCUUCCCUUCCUCCCUUCUUUCCUUCCUCCCUCCCUCCCUCUUUCUCUUUCUUGCUUGCUUGCUUGCUUUCAGCAGGUAGGUUCCUGUACUUUCCCUCAAAUAACUCUGCCUUAUAUCUUAGACACUCCCUGGCCAUCUUUGCUUUGGGAGAGCAGAGCCAAAGCAGUGGGUGUGGGGUGUGGGAGGAGUUGGCUGAAUUAUCCUCACACUUGGCUCAAUGUCUACCUUCAUUUUGCUAAUAAACACCAUGUCCUUCAUCAGACCGUUUUUCAGGGAGUCACAGCCCGCAGCUGGUGGCCUGACAAAGAGCUAGAAGCAGCUGCUGAACAGGCCUGGGUGGUUUCUGUCGGGUCAGGAGGAAGAAGCCUCGUGCUGGCAGAAUCCUUCUGGACAACCCUUCCUUUCCUCUCCUCUUGGCAGACGGAAGCCGAGCCACGGGGAAGGUGCAAAGCGGUGAGGGUUGAACAAACCUCCAGCUUGUGCUUGGCUUGUUGGCUCCUCCGAAGCGGAGGCUGAAUCCCACAGCACCCAGUGUCCACCCUGAGUGACAGGCUCCAGGGCCAGAUUUCUGAUGCAGAGCCCCAAGGCGGGCAUGUUAAGGACAUUAAUGGCAGAGGAAGCCUGGGAGCCUCUGAGAGGGACACAAGCCAACAGAACAGAAGGCAGAGCUACAGAAUUGACCCAAAAAAAGGAGGUCUCUUCUGGCUGCGGCCGCCAAGUCUAGGGUUUUCCCAGCCGACGUGCACCUUCAGGAAUGCCUUCCUCUUUCAUAAUAAACUGAACUGCUUUCCCUGCUCCCUGGAAUAACAUGGAAAUUCUCACAGAUGCCCAGGACCGUGACCCGAGGACAGUGAUGGGGCUAGCUGGGUUUGUGAAGCCGGAAGAGCUGAGUGAGGAUGUUGGAGGUGGGGCCUCAGCUCUUGCUAACCUGGGUGUUUGCUCAGGAUGCACUCCAGCCCCUCCAGUCACAGGAGAUGACUCCUCCUUCAUGCUCACCAGGAUGAGCCCUGCCUGGCUCCAGGCCUGUGCCCUGGUAUCAGUGACUCCCCUCUGACCAGUGUCUGUGCUUGGUAAAUGGAGAGGCUGCAAGUCUCCCAGGGGACCUCAGGGUGAGGGUGUUCCUGAGGCAGGAACGCUCAGAUGCCAGGAGUCCAGAGGGAGUGAGCGGUGUAUCAGUGAAAGCUGCUGAGCAGGUGUUUGCACUUCAGUUACCCAUGCACCCCAUUCCCACUUCCUCACACGCUCUCCCUCCCUCUCCCUCCCUCUCCCUCCCUUCUUCCUUCUCUUCCUCCCUUCCUCCCUCUCUUUCUCCCACUCUCUUCCUUCUCCCUCCCUCCGUUUCUCUCUCUCCCCCUCCCUCCCUCCCUCUCUCUCAGGUAAAACCAUUUUGGUCCAUUGAGGAGAGGGUGGCCUCCCACAUGAGACUGACCUCUGCCCGUGUGGAAUGUGAUUCUUGGGUCCAUGGACUCCACUGCCUUUCAGCAGUGACUGGUGAACGGAGCCGUGGGGGCAAGAAUGCAAGGAUCGCUAUGAAGACCUGAAUCUAUUUUGCACUUCCGAAGCUUCCCUACAGCAAAACUGUGCUUGGUUGGAAGGUCAAGGCUGCAGAGCCAGGAUGUGCCUGCCCAAGCACCAAGAGUGUUCAGCAGAGCUAAGAGCGGUUAGCAGAUCUAAGAGCACUCAGCAGAGUUAAGGCUUAAUUUUAGCCCAAGGGCCCAUCACUGCUCCCUGUGUUUGCCUGGGUCAAUGUUAGAUGCUCCCCGCCCCCAAAAGCAGGGUAUCCCUGUGUAUUCCUGGGUACCUGCAUGUCUGUGUAUCUGUGUAGCCCUGGCUGUCCUGGAACUCACUCUGUAGACCAGGCUGGCCUGGAACUCAGAGAUCCACCUGCCUCCCUCCCCUGUGCUGGGAUUAAAGGUGUGUGCUACCACACCUGGCCCAGGGUUAGAGGUCCCUGUGUCCACCUUUCUGUGCUGUAGCACAGUGGGCCUCACACUCGGGGCAAAGGAGGGCGCCUGGGGCAAAGCUGUUGCUUCUGGAUUGAACGUGACCACCACCAUCAAGGAUGAUGGACUGACACAGCAGUGAGGCCUCAGCAGCCAAGACAAUGAAAUAAAUUAACUCCAGGUCCAAGGCAAUGGUGAGGGGCUGUUGGCACCCCCUCCUGGGACUGUGCUGGCAGCUCUCUCUGACGGCCGAGGGCCCACUUGCUCUUGCCCUAGCUGCACCUGAUCAUGAGGGCAUGAUACUGGGCACGAAGGGCUGGCCAAAGGCGGGUGCCUGGGUGUGUAGCCCCGUGCUGGGGUGGGCUCCCUGGUGGUGUGGCCGCUCUCAAGUCAGAGGUGCUCCUGUGAGUAAGCUCAUUGGCUCACCGGGCUGAGCUUGACCGGAGCCCUUCCUUCAAUUGGCCAGCGCCCUAUCUGGGAGGAAGGGGCAUUUCCUUAAAUGUCCCUAGGGAAAGUUGGUCAGCGAGCUCUGGGUGCGCAGUCCGUAUUGUCACUGCAGCCUCGGACAGUCCUCAGGGCUGAAGUGAGAGCUUCAGGGCUGCUUUCAGGGAACGUCACUCUUGCCCUGCACAGCCAGCACAGCCGCCUUUACCCACGGUCCUCUCAGCUCUGUGCAGCCCCAGCAAGCCCACAGCAGACGCUGCAUAGAGGGGGACAGCGACAUCUCGGCUGCUGGUGCUCCCAGACUGGCUCUCUAGCUUGGCAUUGGCCAUCCAUGCCCCUGGCUCCUGCUUGGCCACUGGGAAAUUCCAGAGUAAUCUUAAAGGAUUGUUGCUGCUUCUAAGGAGACAGAAACACAGGCGCUCAACCUGACGAUACUUAAAAGUCUAGGCGAAUCCAGGUGCCCUCGCUUUGAUCAAUUAUCUUCUGUUAGGUAGGUGGAGGUCCCUGCAUGUGCUAGCCCACCUAUGCUGAGAGGCCCUGCCUUCCCAGAGCAAGCUGCUCUGUCGGUGCCCUGCUGUGCACCUUCCCCACCCGCUGGCCCAGCGUGAUGCUGCAGAACAGGCCUUGAAAUGGGCACCAUCGGAGCCAGGAAGCUGUGGGCUCCACCACUCAGAGCACGGACACUCUGGCUGACAUGGGGACGUAAGUGUUCACCAAGCAGAAGUUGUCUUGAAGCUCCCAAGCACCAGAGGCUCUCCUGCCUCUUCCCAGGCCCUCGUCACGGCCAGCCGUUAAAUAAACAUGGCUGUCCUGCAGCAGAGGUGCCUUAUCAGCUUGCAUGGAUUCUCCUUUUCCUAUUCCUACUCUUAAAACUUUAAUACAUGCUCUCGGUCAUGGCGUAAUCUUGCCAUAUUCCAUCAGGCAUCAGCAGAGAACCCUCACAGAGCACACUCGGCUUGCAAAGCCCAGUUUCCAGUGAGAGGCUGUCAGGGAGUAUGGAGAGUCCCUCGGCCUCUGCUUCCUGGCCCAUUAGCAGGAUCCUAACCCUACUCCCCACCCUCAGUUCAUCUCCCAGAAGAAGAAACAUUAGUCUAAGAAAUGAUUCUUUCAUGCCUGGUGCUGUCAACCUAGCCAAAAGCUCAGGCCCGGAGGUCACAGCUCUAGGAAAGAGCUUACUACUGUCGUUUUGCUAAAUGGCAUGCUGUCAAACUGCCUUCUAAAUGUUUAUUCUUAUACUCGUAAGUUAGUAAUGGCCUCAAGCUUAGCCAGAGAACUCAUGCCUGUGGUGGUCAGCAGUUAGCACAGACUGAGAACUGUCAAAGUGCUGAGAAUACGUGACUAUUGAGAGCUCAGUCUUACACUGGACGUCACUGUCAUGCCCCACCUACCCCGUGCUCCACACACACAACAUCGCCAGAGCUCAGGGAACAUUGCAGAAGAGGGGACAAGAGUAUACGAUCAGGAGGGUGGGGAAGAGAAGUGUGGACUGCUGACUUCUGGGCAUUCAAGGUCAUUGUUCCCUUGAACUCACUGCAGCUUUGGUCACUUGCACAAAAUCAAGGCAGCAAGAUCAGCCAACAUUUUGGACUGAAAAGAAAGAGAGGAAGGAAAAGAGGGAGGGAGGAAGGGAGGAAGAAAGGAAGGAAAGGAGAAAGGGAGGAAGAAAGGAAGAGAGGAAGGGAGGCAGGAAAGAAGAGAAGAAAAGCGACAAAGGUGGAAGGGGGCAUGCUGGGAGUAGCUGGUGGUGAGGACUUGAAUUGUGCAUACAACACAGUGUUAAAUGAUAUUAUCAGAGGCUAAAUGAAAAGUAUUUCAUUUUAAGAAGGGAAAGAUUAGAACCUGUCUUCCAUAAAGUGCCCAGAUGCCUCAGAGGACAGAGUUGCAGAGGCUGCUGUCCUUGAGGAGUACAGCUGUGAUGAUGCGUCACUCUUCUUUGCCACAUUCUGCAGUGCAUGCAAGACCCCAGCGCGCCAAGGAGAGGGCCGCAACGAUAUCCCAGAGGUCCUCCUUGUUAGAAAACCCAGGGCCUCCAGGUAACCAAGGGAACCAGUCCCUAGGCAGAUCUUUCACUGCAGGGACCACCUUGCGCCCUGGCUGUUACCCUAAGUCACUCGUGCUCCUUCCCGAAGCUUGGCCUGCUAUCUCCAGUCAUGGUGUCUCCCUCACCCUUGGUAACCUUUAAAGAUGGCAGAGCUGAGGUCUCUCUUGCCUUUGAAUCUCUUUGUUCAGUGCUGCCGGCUAAUUCCUCUAACAACACUCCUGAAGGACAGUUCUUCCCAGCCCUCCCUAGAAUUUGUCACCUGUUGUCUCCAUCACCAGCUAAAUGUAACGUUAUCUGAGGAGGGCUGGGCAGACAUGCACAGGACUCUAGGAAUGCUCCUUUCUUAACUCUCUGUGGCCCUUUACGGUCUUUGACUCAGUUUCCCCAUCUCUGUCUCUUUCCCUCUCAUGAACCAGACUUCCUGAUCUAGCCUGGUUGGUUUGUGUUGUUGUUUUCCAGGGCCGAGAAUUGAACCCAGUGCCUCAAACAUUCUAGAUUCAGAACUGGACUCCAAAGCCUCCAUUCACAAUUAGCUGUGACACCAGCUGCAAAUAGAUCAGGCUCACCAGCCUCAGUUUCCUCAUCUGGAACACGGCAGACUGGAUUGAUCACCGUCGGCUAAACUCUGCAGCCUUGUCCACCUCUGUGAGUGUUGUUUUUCACUGUGAAGGUGCUGUGCCCUCUCUGCUGACCCCUCUGCUUGUGUGUGUGCGAGAGACCUUUUCUUGAUCUCUCUGCCCCUCUGUCUCUCUGAUUCUGUCUCUUUCUUUCUCUGUGUUGGUCUCGCUUCCACCUUUAGCAGUGCAGUAGGUGAGCCGCUGUCCGCCUCUUCCUGACGCCCACUGUCACCUGUGUCUGCUCUCUGUGCUACUCUUUUCCUCCCAGUGCACCCAGCACACCCGCCCGGCAGAGCAGCAGCCACGAGCAGCCACAGAGACCCUUGCCCAGACACAGCCGCCAUGUGCCCACAGCCAGGAAGAGGCACAGAUGUCUGGGCUAGAUGUUUGUUGAUUCAACUUUGUCAGCCCCAGGAGGAUGUAGGCUUUGUCCCCGGCUCUUUCUGAGUGCGCUGGCCAACAACCCUGGACGGCAUCCGCAGCCAGAUUCACCACCCAAAUGGCAGAGUGGCAACUGCCCUGCCGUCCGCAUGUUUUCAUCCCGUCCCACACGCUCCCACGUUGCUCCCUCCUAACCACAGAGCAACCUGGCAGUUGCGUACUGGACUCCGGCAGCUCAGAUCAUCCCUCUCUGUGGAAGGAACUAGGGCCUCCUGCCUGGUGCAGAGCUGCAGCAAAGAAGAUUAUUUCGUUAAGGAGGAAGAAGUAGACCCGGCCCAGACCCUCCCAGAAGCCCCGGCGGAAUACUGCGUAGAGCCAUCCUAGCUCCUUCCUGUCUGCAGGCCGUGCAAACAGUGCGCAAGACAGAUCAGGUUCCGCCACGCCCAACCCCAGACUCACACUGUCCCACACUCACUGCACCGUGCGGGGCGAGGCUGGGGCAGAGUCAGAUCUGAGCACAUGCGCCCUGCCAGCUGCUCCCUGAAGCGCCACCCUUCAGCCGCUCUGACCUCUCUCCACCCCGAAGGCCACAGUGGUCGUAGAAAACACACCCCCUUGCUGUUCCAUGGCCUCCACGAUGGAUGUGAGCCCCCUGUGGGCCGGUGUCCCGUCCAUCACUGUAGAUUGAGGUGGGCACAGGCUUCUGUCUGCACAGAAGUGCCUGGUGCUGUGCUUCCAGGGUAAAGUGUCCCCUACGGUCAGGUCACAUGCCACCUCAGGCCCGCCAGUCAGCUCAAGGCAAACUCCGGUGAGCUGGUGAGGCCCUGACUGAAAAGAAGUGAAAAGAGGGCUGAGGUAGCUCGGUGGCGGGAUGCUUGCUGGGGGUGUAGAGACGCUGGGUUCUAGCCCCAAAACUGAAACAAUAAAAAUUAAAAACUCACCGCCCUGAACACUUAA